rnacentral:rRNA from 1 species
UGGCGAAAGGGGCAGUAAGGCGUGGGUAACCUACCCCGGGGACCGGGAUAGCCGGCCUAACGGCCGGGUAAUACCGGGCGAUCUGGCGAGGGGGCAUCUCCUUGCCAGGAAAUGAGUUUCGCCUCGGGAGGGGCUCACGUGAUAUUAGCUCGUUGGCGGGGUGACGGCCCACCAAGGCGAAGAUGUCUAGCGGGUGUGAGAGCACGACCCGCGCCACUGGCACUGAGACACUGGCCAGACUCCUACGGGAGGCUGCAGUCGAGGAUCUUCGGCAAUGGGCGCAAGCCUGACCGAGCGACGCCGCGUGCGCGAUGAAGGCCUUCGGGUUGUAAAGCGCUGUCGAGGGGGAGGAAAGCCCGCAAGGGCCUGACCCAUCCCUGGAGGAAGCACGGGCUAAGUUCGUGCCAGCAACCGCGGUAAGACGAACCGUGCGAACGUUGUUCGGAAUCACUGGGCUUAAACGGCGCGUAGGCUGGCGACCAAGUCCGGGGUGAAAUCUUUCCGCCCAACUGGAAAAGUGCCUCGGAUACUGGUCGCCUGGAGGGAGGUAGGGGCACGCUGAACUUCCGGUGGAGCGGUGAAAUGCGUUCAUCUCGGAAGGAACUCCGGUGGCUUAAGCGGCGUGCUGCACCUCGUCUGACGCUCAGGCUCGAAAUCCUCGGGAGCGAACGAGAUUAGAUACCCCGGUAGUCCUGGCCCUAAACGAUCGGUACUACGUAGUGUGCUAACAUGGGGCUCACUGC